rnacentral:rRNA from 1 species
AUUAAACGCUUUUUACAUGCAUAAUACAUGCAAGUCGAACGGUAACAGGCCGCAAGGUGCUGACGAGUGGCGAACGGGUGAGUAAUGCAUCGGAGCGUGCCCAGUCGUGGGGGAUAACGCAGCGAAAGCUGUGCUAAUACCGCAUACGAUCUAUGGAUGAAAGCGGGGGACCGUAAGGCCUCGCGCGAUUGGAGCGGCCGAUGUCAGAUUAGGUAGUUGGUGGGGUAAAGGCCCACCCAGCCAACGAUCUGUAGCUGGUCUGAGAGGACGACCAGCCAAACUGGGACGGAGACACGGCCCAGACUCCUACGGGAGGCAGCAGUGGGGAAUUUUGGACAAUGGGCGCAAGCCUGAUCCAGCAAUGCCGCGUGCAGGAAGAAGGCCUUCGGGUUGUAAACUGCUUUUGUACGGAACGAAACGGUCUGGGUUAAUACCUCGGGCUAAUGACGGUACCGUAAGAAUAAGCACCGGCUAACUACGUGCCAGCAGCCGCCGUAAUAC